rfam:Caenorhabditis brenneri strain PB2801 C_brenneri-6.0.1_Cont21.21, whole genome shotgun sequence.
AGCUGAUUUUUCCUUGUUUAUGAGUCCAAAAAUAAUGCUCAUGAACAGGAGUAAAUCAGCUCU